UUGUUUUCUUUUUUCAUCUUCUGGCUUCACUCUUUCGUCUCCACCACUUCAUAUUCGGUUUCUCAACUUUCCUUCUCAGCUUUCCUUCUCCUUAUUCAAACUUCUCACCAUCUUCUAGAUUCUUUCAAUCCUUCCUCAUAACUGAUAUUGUCGGCUAUCACUCGCUACCUUUCUUCGUCACUUCUUUAGGCACAAAAAGCACAACCCUACGUUGUACACGAAGCCACCCGCGGCGGUGGAAUCUGGUGUCGGAAGAGCCGCUAACAACAUUGCCCGGUUUCUUUACUGGAAUCUCAAAUAAAAGUACUCUAGAAGGAGCAAGCAAUGGUUUUUAUUCAGGUGGUCUAGUUGUUGGAUUUGAAAUUGAAAGCAUCGAUGAUCUUAUAUAGUUUCCAAAUGCAUUUGGAGCAAUCCGAUUAAGGAUUUGCGGUCAUUCAUGUGAUGCUAUUGUAAUGGUUUCUUAAAGUAUGUGUUCUCUUCUUUGGAAACCAGCAAAGGAACAAACUAAAGCAGGAUCAGAAGAUCUGGUUCCAUAUCUAUGCUGAUGACAAGAGGAUUAAGCAAGUGGUGCAACAUGCCACCAAAUUAAAUGAUGUAAUUUCUGCAGCAAGAGGUGUUCCUAUGAGAAGGAAAAGUCUAAAGAAUUGGACAGAGAGAAGGAAAAAGAAAAAAGAUAAUGAUAAAAAGGGGGAAAAUGUAAAAGACAAACUCAGAAGUCUUGAAGGGACAAAUUUGGAUGGGACAAAUUUGGAUGCUCUACUGUAGAGGCUUCCUGGUUGUGUGAGUCGGGACCUUAUAGAUCAAUUAACUGUUGAGUUAUGUUAUCUGAAUUCAAAAUCAAAUCGAAAAAAGCUUGUGAGGGCUCUGUUCAAUGUGCCAAGGACAUCUCUAGAACUGCUAGCAUAUUAUUCACGCAUGGUUGCCACACUCUCAACUUGUAUGAAGGAUGUCUCCUCCAUUCUGUUACAAUUGUUGGAGGAGGAAUUCAAUUUCUUAAUAAAUAAAAGGUUACUUUACACAAUUUUGUAUAUAUGAUUAAUAUUUUAUCCUCUGCUCCAAAUUUAGCAGAUUACUUUUGAUAGUUGCUUUUUUGAAAUGUCUUUACAGGACCAGAUGAACAUUGAGACAAAGAUAAGGAACAUCAGGUUCAUUGGAGAACUUUACAAGUUCAAAAUUGCUUCUCCUAGCCUAGUCUUAAGUUGUUUGAAGCAGAAUUGCGGACUGCAAUAUUUUCUAAGGUUGCACUGCAAACAAUUAGAUUAGUAUCAAGGUAUCUUUGAGCAAGGGAGUGUGCCAAACAAUGGAUGUAAUGAAGAAGAAAAUUAGAUAUUGUUAUUGAAUAUCUUUGAGUCAUAUUUUUAGUAUGUACUAAACAUCUAUAUUGAACAUAUGUAAUGAAUAUCUUUCUUUUUAAUUUUUCUUUAUGAACAUGUAUGAAUGAUAUAAGGUUGCAAUGAAAU